GGGUUGUGAGGUUAAGCGACUAAGCGUACACGGUGGAUGCCCUGGCAGUCAGAGGCGAUGAAGGACGUGCUAAUCUGCGAUAAGCGUCGGUAAGGUGAUAUGAACCGUUAUAACCGGCGAUUUCCGAAUGGGGAAACCCAGUGUGAUUCGUCACACUAUCAUUAACUGAAUCCAUAGGUUAAUGAGGCGAACCGGGGGAACUGAAACAUCUAAGUACCCCGAGGAAAAGAAAUCAACCGAGAUUCCCCCAGUAGCGGCGAGCGAACGGGGAGCAGCCCAGAGCCUGAAUCAGUGUGUGUGUUAGUGGAAGCGUCUGGAAAGGCGCGCGAUACAGGGUGACAGCCCCGUACACAAAAAUGCACAUACUGUGAGCUCGAUGAGUAGGGCGGGACACGUGGUAUCCUGUCUGAAUAUGGGGGGACCAUCCUCCAAGGCUAAAUACUCCUGACUGACCGAUAGUGAACCAGUACCGUGAGGGAAAGGCGAAAAGAACCCCGGCGAGGGGAGUGAAAAAGAACCUGAAACCGUGUACGUACAAGCAGUGGGAGCACGCUUAGGCGUGUGACUGCGUACCUUUUGUAUAAUGGGUCAGCGACUUAUAUUCUGUAGCAAGGUUAACCGAAUAGGGGAGCCGAAGGGAAACCGAGUCUUAACUGGGCGUUAAGUUGCAGGGUAUAGACCCGAAACCCGGUGAUCUAGCCAUGGGCAGGUUGAAGGUUGGGUAACACUAACUGGAGGACCGAACCGACUAAUGUUGAAAAAUUAGCGGAUGACUUGUGGCUGGGGGUGAAAGGCCAAUCAAACCGGGAGAUAGCUGGUUCUCCCCGAAAGCUAUUUAGGUAGCGCCUCGUGAAUUCAUCUCCGGGGGUAGAGCACUGUUUCGGCAAGGGGGUCAUCCCGACUUACCAACCCGAUGCAAACUGCGAAUACCGGAGAAUGUUAUCACGGGAGACACACGGCGGGUGCUAACGUCCGUCGUGAAGAGGGAAACAACCCAGACCGCCAGCUAAGGUCCCAAAGUCAUGGUUAAGUGGGAAACGAUGUGGGAAGGCCCAGACAGCCAGGAUGUUGGCUUAGAAGCAGCCAUCAUUUAAAGAAAGCGUAAUAGCUCACUGGUCGAGUCGGCCUGCGCGGAAGAUGUAACGGGGCUAAACCAUGCACCGAAGCUGCGGCAGCGACACUAUGUGUUGUUGGGUAGGGGAGCGUUCUGUAAGCCUGUGAAGGUGUACUGUGAGGUAUGCUGGAGGUAUCAGAAGUGCGAAUGCUGACAUAAGUAACGAUAAAGCGGGUGAAAAGCCCGCUCGCCGGAAGACCAAGGGUUCCUGUCCAACGUUAAUCGGGGCAGGGUGAGUCGACCCCUAAGGCGAGGCCGAAAGGCGUAGUCGAUGGGAAACAGGUUAAUAUUCCUGUACUUGGUGUUACUGCGAAGGGGGGACGGAGAAGGCUAUGUUGGCCGGGCGACGGUUGUCCCGGUUUAAGCGUGUAGGCUGGUUUUCCAGGCAAAUCCGGAAAAUCAAGGCUGAGGCGUGAUGACGAGGCACUACGGUGCUGAAGCAACAAAUGCCCUGCUUCCAGGAAAAGCCUCUAAGCAUCAGGUAACAUCAAAUCGUACCCCAAACCGACACAGGUGGUCAGGUAGAGAAUACCAAGGCGCUUGAGAGAACUCGGGUGAAGGAACUAGGCAAAAUGGUGCCGUAACUUCGGGAGAAGGCACGCUGAUAUGUAGGUGAAGUCCCUCGCGGAUGGAGCUGAAAUCAGUCGAAGAUACCAGCUGGCUGCAACUGUUUAUUAAAAACACAGCACUGUGCAAACACGAAAGUGGACGUAUACGGUGUGACGCCUGCCCGGUGCCGGAAGGUUAAUUGAUGGGGUCAGCGCAAGCGAAGCUCUUGAUCGAAGCCCCGGUAAACGGCGGCCGUAACUAUAACGGUCCUAAGGUAGCGAAAUUCCUUGUCGGGUAAGUUCCGACCUGCACGAAUGGCGUAAUGAUGGCCAGGCUGUCUCCACCCGAGACUCAGUGAAAUUGAACUCGCUGUGAAGAUGCAGUGUACCCGCGGCAAGACGGAAAGACCCCGUGAACCUUUACUAUAGCUUGACACUGAACAUUGAGCCUUGAUGUGUAGGAUAGGUGGGAGGCUUUGAAGUGUGGACGCCAGUCUGCAUGGAGCCGACCUUGAAAUACCACCCUUUAAUGUUUGAUGUUCUAACGUUGACCCGUAAUCCGGGUUGCGGACAGUGUCUGGUGGGUAGUUUGACUGGGGCGGUCUCCUCCUAAAGAGUAACGGAGGAGCACGAAGGUUGGCUAAUCCUGGUCGGACAUCAGGAGGUUAGUGCAAUGGCAUAAGCCAGCUUGACUGCGAGCGUGACGGCGCGAGCAGGUGCGAAAGCAGGUCAUAGUGAUCCGGUGGUUCUGAAUGGAAGGGCCAUCGCUCAACGGAUAAAAGGUACUCCGGGGAUAACAGGCUGAUACCGCCCAAGAGUUCAUAUCGACGGCGGUGUUUGGCACCUCGAUGUCGGCUCAUCACAUCCUGGGGCUGAAGUAGGUCCCAAGGGUAUGGCUGUUCGCCAUUUAAAGUGGUACGCGAGCUGGGUUUAGAACGUCGUGAGACAGUUCGGUCCCUAUCUGCCGUGGGCGCUGGAGAACUGAGGGGGGCUGCUCCUAGUACGAGAGGACCGGAGUGGACGCAUCACUGGUGUUCGGGUUGUCAUGCCAAUGGCACUGCCCGGUAGCUAAAUGCGGAAGAGAUAAGUGCUGAAAGCAUCUAAGCACGAAACUUGCCCCGAGAUGAGUUCUCCCUGACUCCUUGAGAGUCCUGAAGGAACGUUGAAGACGACGACGUUGAUAGGCCGGGUGUGUAAG
rnacentral:rRNA from 1 species